CCGCUGCAAGGCCACCAUCUACCUGUGGAAAUGGGACGACAAGGUGGUCAUCUCUGACAUCGACGGCACCAUCACCAAGUGAGGCCCACCCAGCUGUGGGAAGGGGAGGGAGAGGGGUUGUGGACUCGCCUCCCUCUGUGCUGGGUGUGGUGGGGAGUGAGAGGAGCCCUCCCUUCCUGGUGGGCCAUCCUGGGGCUGGAGCUGGGCCACGUGGAGCUGCCUUGGAGUAACCCUUCCUCUCUCACUCUAGGUCAGAUGCUCUGGGCCAUAUCCUGCCCCAGCUGGGGAAAGACUGGACACACCAGGGCAUCACCAGUCUCUAUCACAAAAUCCAACUGUGAGUGCCUGGGCUGGGGCUGGGGCUGAGGCGAGGCCCCCAGCUCUAGAGAGGGAGUGACAGGACAGGACAUCUUGGGGACCAGCAGGGCCCACAAGGCAGGCUGCCAGGGCAGGUGCCUGGAGUGCUGAGACCUCUCUAUUGGCCCGCAGUUCUGGGAAAGGCUCAUCCCCUGGGGCUGUGUUCUAGGAUCAGGGCCCACCUACUGGCCUGCAGCCGGAGGGGAGGCCCUCUCCAUCCUGGUCCACCCAGGCCUCAGGACUCUGUGCACCGUCCAGCUGAGUCCACUGCCUGGCCGUUCUCUUCAAGUCCCCUCCCUGCAAAGAAAUGGGUACAAGUUCCUGUACUGCUCGGCGCGGGCCAUUGGCAUGGCGGACCUCACCAAGGGGUACCUGCAGUGGGUGAGCGAGGGGGGCUGUAGCCUCCCCAAGGGCCCCAUCCUUCUGUCUCCCAGCAGCCUCUUCUCUGCCCUCCACAGGUAACCACCCCUACACAUACAAGCCCGUGGCCCCCUGGUGGGGAAAGGCAGGCCCACUGCCAGGCCAGCCUUAGCAGGCUGGCAUUAAGCUCUCAGGUGGCAAGGAGGGUGGGGUCAGACCCCCCAUCACCUGAGCCUGCCAUCCCCUCUGGCUUCUUCCCUACUUUGGCCCCCUUCCCUGCUGUGGUUCUGGCCACCCCAGAGAGGUGAUCGAGAAGAAACCAGAGGUGUUCAAGGUCGCCUGCCUGAGUGACAUCCAGCAGCUGUUUCUGCCCCACGGACAGCCCUUCUAUGCUGCCUUUGGGAAUAGGCCCAAUGAUGUCUUUGCCUACCGGCAGGUGGGCCUGCCUGAGUCACGCAUCUUCACAGUCAACCCCCGGGGAGAGCUCAUCCAGGAGCUCAUAAAGAACCACAAAUCCACGUAUGAGCGGCUUGGUGAAGUGGUCGAGCUCCUCUUCCCACCUGUGGCCCGUGGCCCCAGCACAGACCUGGCCAACCCUGAAUACAGUAACUUCUGCUACUGGCGGGAGCCACUGCCUGCUGUGGACCUUGAUACCCUGGACUGAACCUGCCCUGGCUGGCUCCUCCUCCCU
rnacentral:lncRNA from 10 species